ensembl:lncRNA
GGGCUGAGUAAGAAGAGAAGGAGAGGGAUUGGCACUCUGGCAUCAAAGAAAAAACCACACAGCCCUGGAAGAGAGAGUGAGCACUGAUAAAGCAAACCACAGAAAGGUCCCCAGCAAUCUCACCCCAGAGCCCUCAUCCCCCCCCCAAGAGCCCUGCCAGGGCUGGAAUCAGCCCUGACAGGGAUCAUUUUCUGGUAUUUAUCCUCUGAAGAAUGGUGUCACCUCCAAAGCGCCUUUAAAGAGUGCUGUCCUUUCUAUUUAUCUCCUUGGAAUCUAACCAGGAUUUCCUGGGAGAUAAAUUGGCUUGAGUUGAAACUGCUUCAUAAGUCACAGUAGUGAUUUAACAGUACAGGAGAUGACAGACCAGUGCUUUGGGCCACUUUCCAGCAUUAAAGAUUUAUUAGCAGAGGUAUCCUAAUACAUCACAUAGUGCAGAGCUACCUCAGAAGUUCUCUGUCAGAAUAGCAAAGUAUAUUCACAAAGCAGAUGUGCUGCAUGGCUCGAGGUCCAGGCUGUGCUCUCUAAACUGGACUCAUUUCUGUGGUUUCGGGAAGUCAGCUGUCCAGUGAGAGCCAGCAGUGCUCUUGACCCUGCCACCUCUGGUAUAACCCUGGCUGCUCCUCCACUGCUUUUGUUAUUCCUAAUUUCUCAAAGGAGCAAUAGGCAACUUGUAAGACGAUCUGACAGCUCAAAGAUCCUUGGAAAAAGAGAAGGCAAAGGACCAUGUUCCCCAGGACUGCAGAGCAUGGCCAAGGAAUUCCAGCAGCUCCCACAGGCCUUAACUGUGGAAAAACUCUCCAUGGAACUAGACAGUGCACAAGCACAGAGGAAGAUACUGAAGAGUAUGCAAUCAAAUAAAGCAACAUUACGAUGCCUUUUAUUAGCUACAGGAGAGAUGGCUAAGGAAUCAACUACAUUAAGAUCAUGCUUAUCCCAAAUCUACGAGGUUGCAUUUGCAGUCUCUUCUUGACACUCUAUCUUGUAAAGAGCACUUGCAUUAAAUAAACCAUAUUAUGAAGUAUGAGACAAUACCAAGUAUGUUAAUUCAACUGAAAAAAAUCAAUAUGAGAACUAAACAAAAGACUGUGUUUGACUCUGCCUGUUGAUAAAACCAGCUAUUUCCUUAAUCCUUUUAGGGUGUGAAAGUUUUUUUUUUCUCUUUUUUUUCUUUUUUUUUUUCUUUCCAUCACAGGCUUUUCUCAUGUAAAUAGUCUUGUAGAAAAAAUAAAUUGAAGCUGAAAUCAGGUAGACAUAUUCUCAACUCUGAUGAUGCAGAAAUUACCGUGAAUGUUUUCAAAGGUCUGCUAAACCAUGCAAAGGCUGUUUUGAUAUUUUGAUUAUAUGUUCAUCUGAUCUGGUAAUAAUAUAAUGAAAACAGUGUUUAAUGAUGCAUUUGUAACUUGAACACUUCAUAAUCAAAACAGGUCAGUGGGGUAUAGGACUAGAUGCUCAGCCAUUUGUGAGAGAUGCCACAACCUAUACUGUAAUUUACAAUACAUCUGCCUUUGUACAGAGUGUGAGAAAAUCAGGGAGGCAGAUUUUUGGCACAUUUUGCCUAGUAAGCAUGGCACUGUAUAUGUAAAAAUAAUUGGGUGUGGAGGAAAAAGUAUUAUUUACUUUAUUCCAGAGAACUAAAUAAAAGAUAUUGUUCUGAGUGGGCAAAAUGAAAGAUGUGUCAUAUACACAUACAGAUGGUGCUGGAUAUGUUACUGUCAGUCUGCUCACUGAUGCCCUCCCAGAUGUCAGUGGGGAUCUCUGCUGUUUUCUUAACCUGUGAGGCUGGGAAGUAUCAGCUGCUCUUACAUUCAUUUUCAGCCCCAGCCUUUGUUCACAG